UACGUAGGCAGCAAGCGUUGUUCGGAGUUACUGGGCGUAAAGAGUAUGUAGGCGGUUGGGUAAGUUUGGUGUGAAAAUCUCCCGGCUUAACUGGGAGGGUGCGCUAAAGACUGCCUGGCUCGAGUGUGGGAGAGGAAAGCGGAAUUCCUGGUGUAGCGGUGAAAUGCGUAGAUAUCUGGAGGAACACCGGUGGCGAAGGCGGCAUCCUGGACCGACACUGACGCUGAGGAGCGAAAGCCAGGGGAGCAAAGCGGG
rnacentral:rRNA from 1 species